GAAUGCACAAGGAGGUUCGAAAGAGCUUCCAAAGAAAGUCCAGCACUCCCUCAGACAAGCCGUGGAAGGCAUGAAGGCAAAGAUGGACGCUGCCGAGAGAGCCGCCAGGGAGCUGCUUGCUCAGGAGAAGGCCACUCGACGAAUUGAUGUACAGCGAAGCCUCAUGGAAACGGCUGAGGGCGUCAAAACAUCCUACGAUAAAUACGAGCUGGAGUUCCA